ACCAGACUCCUACGGGAGGCAGCAGUGGGGGAUAUUGCACAAUGGGGGGAACCCUGAUGCAGCGACGCCGCGUGGGUGAAGAAGCGCCUCGGCGCGUAAAGCCCUGUCAGCAGGGAAGAAAAUGACGGUACCUGAAGAAGAAGCCCCGGCUAACUACGUGCCAGCAGCCGCGGUAAUACGUAGGGGGCAAGCGUUAUCCGGAUUUACUGGGUGUAAAGGGGGCGCAGACGGCGAUGCAAGCCAGGAGUGAAAGCCCGGGGCCCAACCCCGGGACUGCUCUUGGAACUGCGUGGCUGGAGUGCAGGAGGGGCAGGCGGAAUUCCUGGUGUAGCGGUGAAAUGCGUAGAUAUCAGGAGGAACACCGGUGGCGAAGGCGGCCUGCUGGACUGCAACUGACGUUGAGGCCCGAAAGCGUGGGGAGCAAACAGGAUUAGAUACCCCCGUAAUG
rnacentral:rRNA from 1 species